AUGAACGCUGGCGGCGUGCCUAAUACCUGCAAGUCGAACGAAACUUCUUUAUCACCGAGUGCCUGCACUCACCGAUAAAGAGUUGAGUGGCGAACGGGUGAGUAACACGUGGGCAACCUGCCCAAAAGAGGGGGAUAACACUUGGAAACAGGUGCUAAUACCGCAUAACCAUAGUUACCGCAUGGUAACUAUGUAAAAGGUGGCUAUACUACCGCUUUUGGAUGGGCCCGCGGCGCAUUAGCUAGUUGGUAGGGUAAAGGCUUACCAAGGCAAUGAUGCGUAGCCGAAUUGAGAGGUUGAUCGGCCACAUUGGGACUGAGACACGGCACAAACUCCUACGGGAGGCAGCAGUAGGGAAUCUUCCACAAUGGGCGAAAGCCUGAUGGAGCAACGCCGCGUGGGUGAAGAAGGUCUUCGGAUCGUAAAACCCUGUUGUUAGAGAAGAAAGUGCGUGAGAGUAACUGUUCACGUUUCGACGGUAUCUAACCAGAAAGCCACGGCUAACUACGUG
rnacentral:rRNA from 1 species